UAGGGAAUCUUCGGCAAUGGACGGAANUCUGGACCGAGCAACCCCGGCGUGAGUGAAGAAGGUUUUCGGAUCGUAAAGCUCUGUUGUAAGAGAAGAACGAGUGUGAGAGUGGAAAGUUCACACUGUGACGGUAUCUUACCAGAAAGGGACGGCUAACUACGUGCCAGCAGCCGCGGUAAUACGUAGGUCCCGAGCGUUGUCCGGAUUUAUUGGGCGUAAAGCGAGCGCAGGCGGUUAGAUAAGUCUGAAGUUAAAGGCUGUGGCUUAACCAUAGUAGGCUUUGGAAACUGUUUAACUUGAGUGCAAGAGGGGAGAGUGGAAUUCCAUGUGUAGCGGUGAAAUGCGUAGAUAUAUGGAGGAACACCGGUGGCGAAAGCGGCUCUCUGGCUUGUAACUGACGCUGAGGCUCGAAAGCGUGGGGAGCAAACAGGAUUAGAUACCCUGGUAGUCCACGCUGUAAACGAUGAGUGCUAGGUGUUAGACCCUUUCCGGGGUUUAGUGCCGUAGCUAACGCAUUAAGCACUCCGCCUGGGGAGUACGACCGCANGNUG
rnacentral:rRNA from 1 species